UACAGAGGGGGCAAGCGUUAUUCGGAAUUAUUGGGCGUAAAGGGCGCGUAGGCGGCUUUGCAAGUGACGGGUGAAAUCCCUCGGCUUAACCGAGGAACUGCCUGUCAAACUGCAUGGCUUGAGACCGGGAGAGGUGAGUGGAAUUCCCAGUGUAGCGGUGAAAUGCGUAGAUAUUGGGAGGAACACCAGUGGCGAAGGCGGCUCACUGGACCGGUACUAACGCUGAUGCGCGAAAGCGUGGGGAGCAAACAGG
rnacentral:rRNA from 1 species